rnacentral:rRNA from 1 species
AGUGAACGCUGGCGGUAGGCCUAACACAUGCAAGUCGAACGGCAGCACAGUAAGAGCUUGCUCUUACGGGUGGCGAGUGGCGGACGGGUGAGGAAUACAUCUGAAUCUACUUUUUCGUGGGGGAUAACGUAGGGAAACUUACGCUAAUACCGCAUACGACCUACGGGUGAAAGCAGGGGAUCUUCGGACCUUGCGCGAUUGAAUGAGCCGAUGUCGGAUUAGCUAGUUGGCGGGGUAAAGGCCCACCAAGGCGACGAUCCGUAGCUGGUCUGAGAGGAUGAUCAGCCACACUGGAACUGAGACACGGUCCAGACUCCUACGGGAGGCAGCAGUGGGGAAUAUUGGACAAUGGGCGCAAGCCUGAUCCAGCCAUACCGCGUGGGUGAAGAAGGCCUUCGGGUUGUAAAGCCCUUUUGUUGGGAAAGAAACGCAGCAGGUUAAUACCCCGCUGUUCUGACGGUACCCAAAGAAUAAGCACCGGCUAACUUCGUG